rnacentral:lncRNA from 1 species
UUUCUUUGAGAGUGACCUCUUUUUUCUGCCUCCAUUCACUUUGGCAAUUUCAUUGCCAAGCUCACUGUUUUUGCUAAUUUUGUUUCUUAACUUGUUUGCUGUUUUUGUGUGUUUGCUGUUUUUUAUUUGCAAAAUGGCUGGCUAUUCAAGUGGUGCAUCUUACAAACAGCAUUCUCCUUCCAAAGCUUCAGUCCUUGGUGAAGAAGAACAUAGAAGAAGGAGGCAUCACCAUCAUUCUCAUGAAGAGAGCUAUAACCGUGACCAAAGAUAUCACCAAGUGUUCAACAUUGCUUGUAAAAAAGUCCCUAGUUUUAAUGGUGAUAGUGA